rnacentral:rRNA from 1 species
GACCACACGAAGCUGGAAUCGCUAGUAAUCGUGAAUCAGAAUGUCACGGUGAAUACGUUCCCGGGUCUUGUACACACCGCCCGUCACACCAUGGGAGUCAGCAACGCCCGAAGUCAGUGACCUAACCGAAAGGGAGGAGCUGCCGAAGGCGGGGCCGGUAACUGGGGUGAAGUCGUAACAAGGUAGC